rnacentral:rRNA from 1 species
GAUGAACGCUAGCGACAGGCUUAACACAUGCAAGUCGAGGGGCAGCACGGUGUAGCAAUACAUUGGUUGCGACAGGCGCACGGGUGGGUAACGCGUAUGCAACCUACCUAUCAGAGGGGAAUAACCCGGCGAAAGUCGGACUAAUACCGCCUAAAACAGGGGUUCCACAUGGAAAUAUUUGAUAAAGAUUUAUCGCUGAUAGAUGGGCAUGCGUUCCAUUAGAUAGUUGGUGAGAUUACGGCUCACCAAGUCCACGAUGGAUAGGGGUUCUGAGAGGAAGGUCCCCCACACUGGUACUGAGACACGGACCAGACUACUACGGGAGGCAGCAGUGAGGAAUAUUGGUCAAUGGGCGAGAGCCUGAACCAGCCAAGUCGCGUGAAGGAUGAAGGAUCUAUGGUUUGUAAACUUCUUUUAUAUGGGAAUAAAGUGAGGAACGUGUUCCUUUUUGUAUGUACCAUAUGAAUAAGCAUCGGCUAACUCCGUGCCAGCAGCCGCGGUAA